rnacentral:rRNA from 1 species
GGGGAAUAUUGGACAAUGGGCGCAAGCCUGAUCCAGCCAUGCCGCGUGAGUGAUGACGGCCUUAGGGUUGUAAAGCUCUUUCGCCAGGGACGAUAAUGACGGUACCUGGAUAAGAAGCCCCGGCUAACUUCGUGCCAGCAGCCGCGGUAAUACGAAGGGGGCUAGCGUUGUUCGGAAUCACUGGGCGUAAAGCGCACGUAGGCGGAUCUUUAAGUCAGGGGUGAAAUCCCGAGGCUCAACCUCGGAACUGCCUUUGAUACUGGGGAUCUCGAGUUCGGGAGAGGUGAGUGGAACUGCGAGUGUAGAGGUGAAAUUCGUAGAUAUUCGCAAGAACACCAGUGGCGAAGGCGGCUCACUGGCCCGAUACUGACGCUGAGGUGCGAAAGCGUGGGGAGCAAAC